GUCUAUGGCCAUACCACCCUGAACUUGCCCGAUCCUGUCUGAUCGUGAAGCUGAGCAGGGUCAGGCCUGGUUAGUACUUGGAUGGAAGAAAGCAGUGGUCAAACU
rnacentral:rRNA from 1 species